rnacentral:rRNA from 1 species
UACGUAGGGGGCAAGCGUUGUCCGGAAUUAUUGGGCGUAAAGAGCGCGUAGGCGGUCCGAUAAGUCGGCUGUGAAAGUCAGGGGCUCAACCCUUGGAAGCCGGCCGAUACUGUCGGACUAGAGUCCGGAAGAGGCGAGUGGAAUCCCGGUGUAGCGGUGAAAUGCGCAGAGUAUCGGGAGGAACACCAAUGGCGAAGGCAGCUCGCUGGGGACGGUACUGACGCUGAGGCGCGAAAGCGUGGGGAGCAAACAGG